GGGCAGGUGGCCGAGCGGAAAUGGCAGCAGACUGUAAAUCUGCCGGCGUAGCCUACGGAGGUUCAAAUCCUUCCCUGCCCACCA
rnacentral:tRNA from 2 species